CAGUUCUCUCACUCUACAGGUGAUUAGAGUUUGUGUUUUUUUGCUUAUAUUGUUGUUGUUUCGAUGAAUCUCUUUGUUCUCUCUAACUCUCUAACUUAAAAACUUGAUUUGUGCAUAAUAUUUGAUUACUUUGGGUUGAUCUUUGGAAACUGGAAUGUGACUUUUGCUACCCCUGCAUGAACCGUGAUUUUUGGAACUUAGUUGCAGGUGAUAUUUCAGUUCUCAUAUCAGUGGCUAGUCUUGCCUUGGCAAAUUAAACAAAUAAGAUGGAUCAACGUCAAAGUAGCACGGAAAGAGUCUUAGAGCAAGAGCAAUGCAAUUGUAAGUGUAUUUGACUUCGUGUCUUUGAAAUAUGAG